rnacentral:rRNA from 1 species
UACAGAGGGUGCGAGCGUUAAUCGGAAUUACUGGGCGUAAAGCGUGCGUAGACGGUUGCGUAAGUCAGAUGUGAAAGCCCCGGGCUCAACCUGGGAGGUGCGCUUGAUACUCGAGGGCUUGAGUGCGGGAGAGGAGAGUGGAAUUCCCAGUGUAGAGGUGAAAUUCGUAGAUAUUGGGAAGAACACCGGUGGCGAAGGCGGCUCUCUGGACCGUAACUGACACUGAGAGACGAAAGCCAGGGGAGCAAACGGG